CCAUCCCUGCAUUAGAAUAUACGAGAAGAAGGAUAACAUAAUUGACAGCAAUGAAAAUAGAAUUUCAUUUUUUCUAUAUAUAUUAUUAUUCUGUAAAUCUAGGCUAUAAAGAGCCUCAUUCUGUACUCUAGAAAUUUGACACAGAAUAUACUUUACACAUACAUUAUACAUGCAUAGAAGGGAGAAAAGCGAUUUAGAAUCAAUAGAGGAAGAAGGAAGGGAAAAUCCUCACCAAGCUCUUCAAUAGGUGGUCGAGUAUUUACAGCAGGAGUCAGGAGUGGUUUCGCGUGCUGCUAGACACCAGAUCUGAUGGUGAUUCAGCUGCCUGUGGAAAAACCUUAGCAAAAAAAUGUGUUCUAAUUUCAAAAAUGAAUGAAAGU